CCUACGGGGGCAGUAGUAGGGAAUCUUUCACAAUGGGCGAAAGCCUGAUGGAGCAACGCCGCGUGCAGGAUGAAGGCCUUCGGGUUGUAAACUGCUUUUAUAAGCGAGAAAUAUGAUGGUAACUUAUGAAUAAGGAUCGGCUAACUACGUGCCAGCAGCCGCGGUCAUACGUAGGAUCCGAGCAUUAUCCGGAGUGACUGGGUGUAAAGAGUUGCGUAGGUGGCAUAAGAAGUAGCUAGUGAAAUCUGGUGGCUCAACCAUUCAGACUAUUAGCUAAACUGUUAAGCUCGAGACCGUUAGGGGUAACUGGAAUUUCUAGUGUAGGAGUGAAAUCCGUAGAUAUUAGAAGGAACACCAAUAGCGUAGGCAGGUUGCUGGGACGGUUCUGACACUAAGGCACGAAAGCGUAGGGAGCAAACGGGAUUAGACACCCGGGUAGUC
rnacentral:rRNA from 1 species